UACGUAGGGGGCUAGCGUUGUCCGGAUUUAUUGGGCGUAAAGAGCGUGUAGGCGGCUUGGCAAGUCUGCUGUGAAAACUCGAGGCUCAACCUCGAGCUGUCGGUGGAAACUGCUUGGCUAGAGUCCGGAAGAGGAGAGUGGAAUUCCUGGUGUAGCGGUGAAAUGCGCAGAUAUCAGGAGGAACACCUGUGGCGAAGGCGGCCGUCUGGGCCGACCCUGACGCUGAGGCGCGAAGGCGUGGGAGCGAACGGG
rnacentral:rRNA from 1 species